GAUGAACGCUGGCGGCGUGCUUAACACAUGCAAGUCGAACGGUGAAGGCGGAGCUUGCUCUGCUGGAUCAGUGGCGAACGGGUGAGUAACACGUGAGCAAUCUGCCCCUGACUCUGGGAUAAGCGCUGGAAACGGCGUCUAAUACUGGAUACGAGCUGCGAAGGCAUCUUCAGCAGCUGGAAAGAACUUCGGUCAGGGAUGCGCUCGCGGCCUAUCAGCUUGUUGGUGAGGUAACGGCUCACCAAGGCGUCGACGGGUAGCCGGCCUGAGAGGGUGACCGGCCACACUGGGACUGAGACACGGCCCAGACUCCUACGGGAGGCAGCAGUGGGGAAUAUUGCACAAUGGGCGAAAGCCUGAUGCAGCAACGCCGCGUGAGGGACGACGGCCUUCGGGUUGUAAACCUCUUUUAGCAGGGAAGAAGCGAAAGUGACGGUACCUGCAGAAAAAGCGCCGGCUAACUACGUG
rnacentral:rRNA from 1 species